rnacentral:ncRNA from 1 species
GUAAUAACAGUGAGAAGGAGUAGUAGUAAUAGAAGCUGGUUUAGAGAGUUGACGGUCGGUGCAAGUCAAUCCACGUUUCGUUAUGAACUCGCCUUUGAGUUGCAGUUGUGAAACUAAUAGUAGCAAUUGCCGUUAAUCCACGUUACGGAUCUAAGCGAAUGUAUAUUUUUUGUACAUUAAUUUAGGGUGGUACCGCGGGAAUCUAUAACCUCUCGUCCCUUUC